rnacentral:snoRNA from 1 species
UGUGUCCGUUGUGAUGACCAUUUUUUCCCCGGCAUAUCGAUAAAUGCUGAAUGACUUUAGUCUCAAGCCAGAUUUGUCUGAGCGGACAUU